rnacentral:rRNA from 1 species
CAGCCGCCGCGGUAAUACCGGCGGCCCGAGUGGCGGUCACUAUUAUUGGGCUUAAAGCGUCCGUAGCCGGGUUGGGAAGUCCUCCGGGGAAUCUGGCCGCUUAACGGUCAGAAUGCCGGAGGAUACUCCCAGCCUAGGGGGCGGGGGAGGCCGAGGGGAUUCCCGGAGUAGGGGGGAAAUCCUAUAAUCCCGGGAGGACCACCUGUGGCGAAGGCGCUCGGCUGGAACGCGUCCGACGGUGAGGGACGAAGGCCAGGGGAGCAAACCGGAUUAGAUACCCGGGUAGUCCUGGCUGUAAACGAUGCGGACUUUGUGUCGGACAAGCUAUGAGCUUGUCCGGUGCCGGAGGGAAACCGUUAAGUCCGCCGCCUGGGGAGUACGGCCGCAAGGCUGAAACUUAAAGGAAUUGGCGGG